rnacentral:rRNA from 1 species
UACAGAGGGGGCGAGCGUUAUUCGGAAUUAUUGGGCGUAAAGGGCGCGUAGGCGGCCUUUCAAGUGACGGGUGAAAUCCCUCGGCUUAACCGAGGAACUGCCUGUCAGACUGGAAGGCUUGAGACCGGGAGAGGUGAGUGGAAUUCCCAGUGUAGCGGUGAAAUGCGUAGAUAUUGGGAGGAACACCAGUGGCGAAGGCGGCUCACUGGACCGGUACUGACGCUGAGGCGCGAAAGCGUGGGUAGCAAACAGG